rnacentral:rRNA from 1 species
GAUGAACGCUAGCGGCAGGCUUAACACAUGCAAGUCGGGCGGCAGCGGGGUGGGAGCUUGCUCCCACUGCCGGCGAGCGGCGCACGGGUGAGUAACACGUAUGCAACCUGCCCCUGUCAGGGGGACAACCCGCCGAAAGGCGGGCUAAACCCGCGUACAUGCCACCGGGGCAUCCCGGAGGCAGGAAAGGCUUCGGCCGGACAGGGAUGGGCAUGCGGCGCAUUAGGCAGUAGGCGGGGUAACGGCCCACCUAACCGACGAUGCGUAGGGGUUCUGAGAGGAAGGUCCCCCACACUGGUACUGAGACACGGACCAG